GCCAGUGUGGUGUAGUGGUUUAAGCAUUGCACUAUGACUGGAGACCAGGGUUUGAAUCCCAGCCCAGCCA